rnacentral:rRNA from 1 species
AUACGGAGGAUCCGAGCGUUAUCCGGAUUUAUUGGGUUUAAAGGGUGCGCAGGCGGCAUGUUAAGUCGGCGGUGAAAUUUUGCAGCUCAACUGUAAAAGAGCCUUCGAAACUGGCAAGCUUGAGUAUGGAUGAAGUAGGCGGAAUUUGUGGUGUAGCGGUGAAAUGCAUAGAUAUCACAAAGAACACCGAUUGCGCAGGCAGCUUACUAAACCAUAACUGACGCUCAGGCACGAAGGCGUGGGGAUCAAACAGGAUUAGAUACCCUGGUAGUCCACGCAGUAAACGAUGAUUACUGGCUGUUUGCGAUACAAUGUAAGCGGCUGAGCGAAAGCGUUAAGUAAUCCACCUGGGGAGUACGUUCGCAAGAAUGAA